UUGACAUCCAAGUUAUCAUGG
ensembl:piRNA 21ur-12904 ncRNA